rnacentral:rRNA from 1 species
UACGUAGGCAGCGAGCGUUGUUCGGAAUUACUGGGCGUAAAGAGUGUGUAGGCGGUGCUCUAAGUUCGGUGUGAAAUCUCCUGGCUUAACUGGGAGGGUGCGCCGGAAACUGGGGUGCUCGAGCGUGGGAGAGGAAAGCGGAAUUCCUGGUGUAGCGGUGGAAUGCGCAGAUAUCAGGAGGAACACCAAUAGCGAAGGCAGCUCGCUGGGACGUUACUGACACUGAGGCGCGAAAGCGUGGGGAGCGAACAGG